rnacentral:rRNA from 1 species
GACGAACCGAGCGAACGUUGUUCGGAAUCACUGGGCUUAAAGGGCGCGUAGGCGGGCUGUCAAGUCUGGGGUGAAAUCCUCCGGCUCAACCGGAGAACUGCCUCGGAUACUGGGCGUCUCGAGUGUGGUAGGGGUAUGCGGAACUAUCGGUGGAGCGGUGAAAUGCGUUGAUAUCGAUAGGAACUCCGGUGGCGAAGGCGGCAUACUGGACCACCACUGACGCUGAUGCGCGAAAGCCAGGGGAGCAAACGGG